rnacentral:lncRNA from 1 species
AUGUAUCUUCUUUUGUAUUUGAAGAUGUUUAUGUAUAAAGCAAAUGAGAGAAAAGAAUGUAAUGCUUCAUUUUGAGUAAAAGUGUUGUAAAAAGAGACGAUGAAAAGCAAUAUAAUGGAAAAAUGAAAUGUAUAUGAUCGAAAGUGAAUCAUAGCACUUAUGUAGUAGUUAGCUUCCUUUCUGUCACUCAUGGCUAUUGUUUACUGUAACAUGCCCUAUUUUGGUAUAAAAAUAAAAAUAAAUAAAAAUAGUGUGAGAAACUAUUUUUAUUGAAUUUAGAUAAGUAAAAUAUAAGUCAGAAGUGACUUGUGCUGAAAUCGGAAUGAAAAUAGAAGAUUUAGAAUUUUCUGUUGGAAACGGAACAGAUAAAUUAGCAGAAAAUGCACAGUAUUAGAAAAUUAUGAAAACUGGAGGAUAAGUCAGAAUUAUUUUUAUGAGGCUAGAUUUAAAGUUUCAUAUUAUUCUGACACCCGGAAGGUGGAAAAUAAAAUCCGACAACUAUCUGAUAAAGAUUACAGUUCGGUACAGUUUUCGGUGACCAAACGGGGUCGAAACUGAAAUAUUAAAAUUUCUUUGGACUCAUUAAGUAAAACUGAAUAUGACUAUCAAAUUUGAGCUCAAACGGAUAUUCAGGGAGCUCCGACGAAAGAUAUCAGAUUUCGAGCUGCCUGGAGUGAAUAGUGGCUUAAGGGUGUAAUUAUAUAAGAAGACUUGUCUUCUUCUUCUCCUUCAGCCGACCACCCCACACCACCAUCACACGCACGCAUGGAGAGGGGGGAGAAACCCUCUUUUCUCUCUCUAAAGAUCUCUCUCAUCUCUCCAAAUCUCUCUCU